GGGGGUGUAGCUCAGCUGGAAGAGCGCUUCGGUCGCAUCGAAGAAGUCGAGGGUUCGAGUCCCUUCACCUCCA
rnacentral:tRNA from 1 species